rnacentral:rRNA from 1 species
CCUACGGGGGGCACCAGUGGGGAAUAUUGCACAAUGGGCGCAAGCCUGAUGCAGCCAUGUCGCGUGUAUGAAGAAGGCCUUCGGGUUGUAAAGUAUUUUCAGCGGGGAGGAAGGUGUUGUGGUUAAUAACCACAGCAGUUGACGUUACCCGCAGAAGAAGCACCGGCUAACUCCGUGCCAGCAGCUGCGGUAAUACGGAGGGUGCAAGCGUUAAUCGGAAUUACUGGGCGUAAAGCGCACGCAGGCGGUCUGUCAAGUCGGAUGUGAAAUCCCCGGGCUCAACCUGGGAACUGCAUUCGAAACUGGCAGGCUAGAGUCUUGUAGAGGGGGGUAGAAUUCCAGGUGUAGCGGUGUAAUGCGUAGAGAUCUGGAGGAAUACCGGUGGCGAAGGCGGCCCCCUGGACAAAGACUGACGCUCAGGUGCGAAAGCGUGGGGAGCAAACAGGAUUAGAUACCCUCGUAGUC